rnacentral:rRNA from 1 species
GAUGAACGCUGGCGGCGUGCCUAACACAUGCAAGUCGAGCGACCAGACGAUGAGCUUGCUCUUCUGCCGUUAGCGGCGGACGGGUGAGUAACGCGUGGAUCACCUUCUUCUUUUUCUUGGAUAACUUCGUGAGACCGGAGCUACUACUAGCUAAUACAUCGUGCCGCAUGGUGCAAUAGUUCAUCACAGCUUUCCUGUCUCUUUUAGCUGGAUCCGCGUCGGAUUAGCUAGUUGGUAAGGUAAAGGCUUACCAAGGCAACGAUGCGUAGCCGAUCUGAGAGGGUGAUCAGCCACACUGGAACUGAGACACGGUCCAGACUCCUACGGGAGGCAGCAGUAGGGAAUAUUGGACAAUGGGCGAAAGCCUGACGGAGCCAUGCCGCGUGAGUGAAGAAGGUCUUCGGGUCGUAAAGCUCUGUUAUUAGGGAAGAAAAAAAGUAGGAGAAACUAUGGAUGUCUUGACGGUACCUAAAGAAAAAGCAACGGCUAACUACGUG